rfam:Micromonospora humi strain DSM 45647 genome assembly, contig: Ga0070213_112
GCCCCCGUGGCUCAGCGGAUAGAGCACUGGAUUACGGAUCCAGGGGUCGCGCGUUCGAAUCGCGCCGGCGGUA